UAUGAGAAAAGGAAGUAGAAAACGCAUUUAUAAAAUGACUUUACUGAAAAUACAUAUGGCAUCUUUUUCCCUUUAGUUAAUUAAACUAAAUGAUAAAAUAUUAAAAUUAGUCACCGUCUUUGAUGAUUUGGAGAUCAAAAUAUCCCGGAAAUAGUUUUUUGAACCGCAAAAUUCCAAACUGUUAAGCUAACCGAUCCUACAUGCCAUGUUAGUAUUUCAGCUGCCAUUGUGAUAAAUGAAAAUAAAAAUAAAAAAAAGAUUUUCAGAAUUUUCAUUAAAAACAACAUACCGUAGAUUGAUCGUGGAAGAGAUAGCACCCAUAGAGCCCAAGAAGGAAGCAAGAAUGCAGGGAGGAAAAAGACAGGUGUUUUGGACUCUUUGAAUUGAAUAUAAAACCGGAAUCCACGGGUUAAAAUCCAAAGAAAAAGGCUUAAAACCCGCUUGAAAGUAUCUUGGAAAAUUUUAACAUUGGCUGAUUGUUUUUCCCACUCUUGACUGAGUUGUUCAUACUUUCUAUUCAGACGGGCCCAUUUAGCAAACU